GUCCACGCCCUAAACGAUGUCGACUGGUUGUUGGGUUUGACACUCUCAGUAACGAAGCUAACGCGUGAAGUCGACCGCCUGGGGAGUACGGCCGCAAGGUUAAACUCAAAGGAAUUGACGGGACCCGCACAAGCGGUGGAUUAUGUGGAUUAAUUCGAUGCAACGCGAAAACCUUACCUACCCUUGACAUGUCCGAGAGGCUGGAGAAAUCCAGCUGUGCCCCGAAAGGGAAUCGGAACACAGGUGCUGCAUGGCUGUCGU
rnacentral:rRNA from 1 species